rnacentral:rRNA from 1 species
UACUGAUGGCGACCGGCGCACGGGUGAGUAACACGUAUCCAACCUGCCUCAUACUCGGGGAUAGCCUUUCGAAAGAAAGAUUAAUAUCCGAUAGCAUAUAUUUCCCGCAUGGGUUUUAUAUUAAAGAAAUUCGGUAUGAGAUGGGGAUGCGUUCCAUUAGUUUGUUGGGGGGUAACGGCCCACCAAGACUACGAUGGAUAGGGGUUCUGAGAGGAAGGUCCCCCACAUUGGAACUGAGACACGGUCCAA